AGUUCCAUAGUGUAGUGGUUAUCACGUUCCCUUUACAUCCAUCUCAUCCGACAGCGGGAAAGGUCCUGGGUUCGAACCCCAGUGGGACUA
rfam:Exophiala mesophila strain CBS 40295 unplaced genomic scaffold supercont1.2, whole genome shotgun sequence.